AUGGUAGACAAUAAUUCCACUGAAGACCAAGCCACCAAAAAUUCAAUCACCAAACAACAGCUACCAGAGUCAGCGCCAGCGUCAACGAUUGAAAAGAGAAAGGAGACAGAUGAGGAAAAGGAGGCCAAAGAAGAAAAGCAAAAUGUUCUUCAAACGGCAGACAUCAAUGUCAAAGAAGACCAAGCGCCAAAAUAUUCACUCACCGAAAAAACCGCAGCAGAGACGGCAACAGCGACAACGACUGAAAAGAUAAAAUACAAGACAAAAACAACGGCAGCGGCGAUGAACUCCAAAAGACAGAACAGGAAGAUGCCCAAAAACCUCCACUCAAUAAAGAACAAGCACAACAGUCAGCAGCAGCAACGAGAACAGCAGCAGAGACAACAGAAAUAG
rnacentral:rRNA from 1 species